UAAGAGUUCUUACAUUGUGGUCCUGCACCUAUAUACCUAAUUUGUUUCACACUUCCACUCGCCAUGCCCGUUAUCUGUCCAUGAAGGGCCACUAUUGACAUAAUGACAAGUAAAGAAGUGCUGGGAAGCUACAGUGCUGUUUUUUCAUAAAUCUUUGUACUUCUGAAGCACUUGUGUAAGAGAGAGAGGACGAAAAUAGGGGGAAAAAAUUUAAAAGCACACAGUGUUGUGGAAAGUUUACACACAAUUUAUUUCUAGACUUUUGUUCAAAUAAAUUACAAUAAAUACAGCAAAAUCAUGAAGCAUUCGAAAUACAGUCUAUGGAGGCACCGCAUCACAAACAGAACACCAGAAAUGACCACCUCACUAGGGCAAAAGUGACACCACUGAAUACAAGCAAACAAAUGUGCACGCCCACAAACAGGUCGAGUCAUAACACGUCAACAGAUCAUUACACUCAGCUUACAACCGUGAGAUUCGACACUCUGCCAUUGCAAUACUUCUGCAACACGCACAGCUCUGCACGCAGCGGUGCUAACAUUGGCAGACAAACUGGUGAAGAAAAGGCAUAACACAAUGUUGUAAUGAAACAACACCAGUAAAUGUGGCAAUGAAACAAGCAUAAACUAAGACAACCCCAAACAACCAAGUAGCAAUAUGCUUUGGUAGUCUUGGACACAAAUAAUUCUGGGUUGCGCAUAUUUCACUGCACUACCGUAUAAGAAAGCAGUGUGCAGACUUCUGAAACCUCCAAAGUUCAUAUAGAGUUGUGGUACAACCAUGCUGCGAUAUAGUAGAGUGUGGUUUAGUCAAUUCUUCCUUCUCUUUUAUCAGGUUUGAGGCCAAGACAAUAUUUUGUAAUCUGCAUGCUGCACCUUAGCAACCACCAUAAGUUUGUUGCUAUUGAAAGAGAGAUACGAGUAUACAGAACCAUUCUUCCAGUAAUGUGUGACGAUGAGACACACAUAUACACAAAAAGAAAGCAAUUCUAAAAAAAAAAAAAACAGAAAAAAAAAACAGCUGCAUGUUCGCAUAUCUCCUGGGCUCAAUCUCUUUGUUAGUAGUUCGAGCUGGCCUGUAUCCCGUGCAACAACAAAACCUCGCAAUACCUCAUAUGUUCCAAGAAUCGGGACGUUACUUGAGGGUUCAUGUCCCGAUUAUAGGUGCCACUUAGUCAGAGGCUUUAUCAGACAAGCACCCCUUGAUCACAAGUUGUGCUUCGUUGAAGCGACUGAAAAAUUAACCUCUUUGAAACUGUGGGGGCUUCAUCUGACAGAACCCGAGGACUGUAUAACUAUGUGACAAACAUGCACACUAUGUUCAUAACAUAAGUGAAACUAAAAGGCGACAUGUUUUGAAAUAGUGAGAUGAAGCACCAAUGAUGCAAGCAGCAUUUCUCCUCAUAACUUGAGUCUAAAGGAAAUGGUCACUAGAAAAUGUACUACCUGUGUCGAAAUGUAUAGCCUUUGAGCUAAGUUGCAGUUGUGGAGACUGGCCUGCUCUGGUAUGUCAAGAGCACUGUAGGUUGUCUACUCGGACCAGAAUAUAGCCUACAAAGCCUAUCGACUGGUCAGUUCUGGUACUGUAGAAAAUCUAUAGAGUCCAUGCAGGACAGGCACCAUUCUAGUCACUGCAGAAGUGGUCAACAAUAUUUUGGCAUAAGAGAUACAGCCUUUGACACCUAAAGGCAGUUGCAGGACUUGGGCCAUAGGCAAUCAUCAGCAAGCUGAUGCAGUGCUGACGUAUGGGAAGGAAGUACAAAGAUAUUGAGCCGUGCGAUGCUACGGGCAAGCAGGUCGAUAACAGGAACAGAAUAUUCAAAGCCAUGUGUCAGGUUAAGCUGCACAAUAGGUGUGCAAAGCUAGCACUGAAAUCGGAUGCUGCUGUUUCUUUGCUUUUUCUGGAGGCAUUGGGGGUGGACAAAUGCUAACACGCAAGACACUCUCAAAGUUUGCCACACUUUGAAACCUUGUGUAAAAG
rnacentral:lncRNA from 1 species